GACGAACGCUGGCGGCGUGCUUAACACAUGCAAGUCGAACGGAAAGGCCCUGCUUUUGCGGGGUGCUCGCGUGGCGACCCGCCCAGUCACACCUCAGUCCCCUGCCCUCCCCCCUCCGAUACCUCCAGGAACCCCCGCCCAAUACCGGCUAGGCGCUCCUGCUGCCCGGCGCGCGCUGGCCAGCUGCGGCGGUUGGGGAUGGGCUCGCGGCUUAUCAGCUUGUUGGUGGGGUAGUGGCUUACCAAGGCUUGGACGGGUAGCCGGCCUGAGAGGGUGACCGGCCACAUGGGGACUGAGAUACGGCCCAGACUCCGACGGGAGGCAGCAGUGGGGAAUAGUGGACAAGGGGCGGAAGCCUGAUGCAGCAGCGCCGCGUGCGGGAUGACGGCGUUCGGGUUGUAAACCGCUUUCGCCUGUGACGAAGCGUGAGUGGCGGUAAUGGGUAAAGAAGCACCGGCUAACUACGU
rnacentral:rRNA from 1 species